AAGUCGUAACAAGGUUUCCGUAGGUGAACCUGCGGAAGGAUCAUUAGCUUAGUGCCGCGUCCGAGGAGGCAACUCCUGCCGGGCGCACAAUGCGCACACCGUGUGAACGUGGAAUGCGUAACGAGCGCUGACCUGUUGGUGCUCUGCCGAGACGGCGCUUCGGCGCGCGGUCGAGACGGGGCAUCAGCAUUCAGCACUAAACCUUUGUAACAACGUAAGACAAAUUGAAAACAAUUUAAUCUAUACACAACUUUUAACAAUGGAUCUCUAGGCUCCU
rnacentral:misc_RNA from 1 species